UUAGCAAAGAAAGAACAUUCAUGGCCAAACUUUCGUUGCCCUUAUAGGAGGGCGUGGCCAUGUGGAUUGUGGGAGAUGUAGUUGUUGUAGCAACGUGAUCACGUUGCUCUUUACAUUAAAGACAGUUUUGGUCGUUUAGAGUCUAAAGGACCAAAAUUGUCUUUAAUGUAAUUAAAUAAUAAAGACACUUUAAGUUAAUAAAUGCUUACUGGCAUAAUGUUAACACAUCCCACGAGGGUAAUUAUCACAGACUUCUUUUUCUUUCUCACAAAAUACCAAAAGUGGAUCAGAUAUUGCCGUCACUGGUCUUUUAAAUAAGAUAAUCCAGCAUCUGGCUAACAAGAAGAAGACCAACAAGACGAGUCACAUCUGGAGGAAAAGGUGGGGGGAGAGAAAAGCGGGUGAGUCUCGGUCCUCAGAGGUUUUACAACACGGACCAUCAGCUCCACGAAUGGGACUAGCUGUAACCUCCACGCUGUUCUUGCUGAUGUCCCUGGAAGCAAAUAUAAAACAUGGCUCUCCUGAGAAAAAUCAAUCGGAUCCUGCUGGUGCUGCUGGUGCUGAUGGUGUGCCUCCUCCUGCGCAGUACACUGCUCAGAGCCUCCACUCGGCCAAGACUCUCAGAGAACAGGAAAAGCCCCAAGAAUUCAGGACAAGUUUCUCCGGAACACGCUGCAGAAGCGCAUGAUGUCGUGCCUGUUGUCAUCUGUGCAUCUGAGGAGCGCAUGGGUGCAUCCAUGGCAACCAUCAACAGCAUCAUCAGCAACACAGACGCCAGUGUUUUCUUCUACGUUGUUACUCUUCGUGAUGCUGUCAAACUCACGAGGAGGUACAUAGAGAAGACAAAACUCAAAGGCAUCCGCUACAAGAUAGUGGAAUUUAAUCCGAUGGUCCUUGUUGGAAAAGUGAAGCCAGAUUCAUCUCGACCUGAUCUCUUACAUCCUCUCAACUUUGUGCGGUUUUACCUGCCUCUGCUCGACAUCCUCCACAAGAGGGUUAUAUACUUAGAUGAUGACAUCAUCGUGCAGGGUGACAUCAGGGAUCUGUUUGAUAUCAAACUGAAGCCAGGACACGCGGCUGCUUUCGCCACAGACUGCGACCUUCCCUCCACACACGAGAUGGUGCGCAGCAUCGGCAUGCAGACAACCUACAUGGGCUUCCUGGACUACAGGAAACAGGAAGUGAAAGACCUGGGCAUCAACCCCAGUGACUGCUCUUUCAACCCUGGAGUGUUUGUGGCAGAUUUGAACGAGUGGAAGAAGCAGAAGAUCACCAAAGAGCUGGAGAAGUGGAUGGAGGAGAAUUUCAGACAAAACAUAUACAGCAGUGCCAUGGCAGGGGGCGUGGCAACUCCACCCAUGCUAAUCGUGUUUCAUGACAAAUACACGAUACUGGACUCUGUGUGGCACGUCAGGCACCUGGGGUGGAGUCCGGAUGUCCAUUACCCUGAGAACUUCCUCCAGGAGGCGCACCUCCUGCACUGGAACGGCCCGUUCAAACCCUGGAACUACCCUGCUGUGCAUUUAGAUCGCUGGGAGAAGUGGUUCAUCCCAGACCCCUCUGGAAGGUUCUCUUUGGAACGUCCUGACCACGACAGCUGAGGUCUGCGGCACCAAGGACCGGUCAGAGGGUCACGUGACACACGCUUACAGUGACGGGGUGAAAGAAUAAAUCCAUGAAUGUAACACUGAAGAACAGCCAGACGCCAAACUGUGACCAGUCUAAAGAAUGUCUGUAACUGGUAACACUCACAGCUUCCUGUCUGCAGAUCUUCAUCUGUCUGGAUCCAGUGCAGGCACAGCUUCUGAACAACUACCACACUCUACACCGCGACACUCGUGUCCCUGUGUGUAAAGAUGUUUUUUACAUUAAACCUGCACUUUACUUUAGUGAUUGCUGCUCACGUUAUGCAAAAGCAAACAGCUGCAGGAGGAAUAGACUGACAGCUUCAUCUAAGAUCUGGAAAAAGUCCAGUUCCUCCAAAGUUUCUCAUUCCUGAAGUCUGUUCCAUCCACCGAAAACUGGACCAGGGCCAAAGUUGAGCCGUUAUAUGGAGGCAGAAAGAGAACUGUUGAUAAGCUGGAGGAGUCGCUCAGAAUCGAGAUGUACGAGCUGUGCAGUGAAGAGGGCCAAGAAGUAUGCAGUGGAUGUGACUCUUGGUCCUGACACAGCAAAUAUCUAUCUCAUCCUUUCUGAUAAUGGGAUGCAAGUCAGCCCUGGAACAGUCAAACAGAAUGUUCCAGGCACCCUAAGAAAUUUUCUGUUAUUCUGUUUGAGGAAAGCAGCAAGAUUUUAGUUUGAGGUUCAGGGCAGAAAGACUGGAUUUUAGCCCAAAGACUGUGAACAGAUAACAGGCAGUGAAUAGCUGCUGUGCUGCACAUUUGGCCUCACGCGGUGGGUGUUUGUGGAUCCUGAAUUGGAGCCGGUCACUUUUAUAAUAUAGAUGGGCCGUAUGAUAAAGUGUUACACAGAACAAAUAAAGUAUGAACUGAAUCAGCUUCCUGUUUUCCUUUGGAAAUAAGUCUGUGAAACUCUUUUAGUAGUGCAACUAAACCACAGAGUAACAUCCCAAAACUGCCAAUAAUCACCAAUGUCAUGCAGAACAAGCUAUAAAAUAGGAUCAGAUGUACAGUGUGGUCACAUUGAUCUUUAUUUUCAACUGUAUAGCUACAUAUUCUUUUCUUCAGGUAUUCACACACGUGUGAUUAUAUUGUGAAUCAUGUGUUUGCAGACGGAGGUUGUUUAAUAACUUCAUAGCUGAUUGUCUUAUUUUUUCACUUGUGUUUGA